rnacentral:rRNA from 1 species
AGUUUGAUCCUGGCUCAGAACGAACGCUGGCGGCAGGCCUAACACAUGCAAGUCGAGCGCACUUCGGGUGAGCGGCGGACGGGUUAGUAACGCGUGGGAACGUACCCUUUUCUGCGGGAUAGCCUUGGGAAACUGAGAGUAAUACCGCAUACGCUUCGGGGGAAAGAUUUAUCGGAGAAGGAUCGGCCCGCGUUAGAUUAGAUAGUUGGUGGGGUAAUGGCCUACCAAGUCUACGAUCUAUAGCUGGUUUUAGAGGAUGAUCAGCAACACUGGGACUGAGACACGGCCCAGACUCUACGGGAGGCAGCAGUGGGGAAUCUUAGACAAUGGGCGCAAGCCUGAUCUAGCCAUGCCGCGUBUGUGAUGAAGGCCUUAGGGUCGUAAAGCACUUUCGCCAGAGAUGAUAAUGACAGUAUCUGGUAAAGAAACCCCGGCUAACUCCGUGCCAGCAGCCGCGGUAAUACGGAGGGGGUUAGCGUUGUUCGGAAUUACUGGGCGUAAAGCGCGCGUAGGCGGAUCAGAAAGUAUGGGGUGAAAUCCCGGGGCUCAACCUCGGAACUGCCUCAUAAACUACUGGUCUAGAGUUCGAGAGAGGUGAGUGGAAUUCCGAGUGUAGAGGUGAAAUUCGUAGAUAUUCGGAGGAACACCAGUGGCGAAGGCGGCUCACUGGCUCGA